rnacentral:rRNA from 1 species
CCGCCCGUCACACCAUGGGAGUGGGGUUCACCAGAAGCCGGUUGCCUAACCGCAAGGAGGGCGCUGACCACGGUGAGCUUCAUGACUGGGGUG